UUCUCAUCAAGAGAGGUGGAGGGACGGGCCCUGUGAAACCUCGGCAACCCGCCUUGGGCGGGUGCCAACUCCCGCCCGCAAAGGGAUAGAUGAGUG
rnacentral:ncRNA from 2 species